rnacentral:rRNA from 1 species
UGGGGAAUAUUGGACAAUGGGCGAAAGCCUGAUCCAGCCAUGCCGCGUGUGUGAAGAAGGUCUUCGGAUUGUAAAGCACUUUAAGUUGGGAGGAAGGGUUGUAGAUUAAUACUCUGCAAUUUUGACGUUACCGACAGAAUAAGCACCGGCUAACUCUGUGCCAGCAGCCGCGGUAAUACAGAGGGUGCAAGCGUUAAUCGGAAUUACUGGGCGUAAAGCGCGCGUAGGUGGUUAGUUAAGUUGGAUGUGAAAUCCCCGGGCUCAACCUGGGAACUGCAUUCAAAACUGACUGACUAGAGUAUGGUAGAGGGUGGUGGAAUUUCCUGUGUAGCGGUGAAAUGCGUAGAUAUAGGAAGGAACACCAGUGGCGAAGGCGACCACCUGGACUGAUACUGACAC